CCUACGGGAGGCAGCAGUGAGGAAUAUUGGUCAAUGGACGAGAGUCUGAACCAGCCAAGUAGCGUGAAGGAUGACUGCCCUAUGGGUUGUAAACUUCUUUUAUAUGGGAAUAAAACGUUCCACGUGUGGGAUUUUGUAUGUACCAUAUGAAUAAGGAUCGGCUAACUCCGUGCCAGCAGCCGCGGUAAUACGGAGGAUCUGAGCGUUAUCCGGAUUUAUUGGGUUUAAAGGGAGCGUAGGUGGAUUGUUAAGUCAGUUGUGAAAGUUUGCGGCUCAACCGUAAAAUUGCAGUUGAAACUGGCAGUCUUGAGUACAGUAGAGGCGGGCGGAAUUCGUGGUGUAGCGGUGAAAUGCUUAGAUAUCACGAAGAACUCCGAUUGCGAAGGCAGUUCACUGGACUGCAACUGACACUGAGGCUCGAAAGUGUGGGUAUCAAACAGGAUUAGAUACCCUUGUAGUC
rnacentral:rRNA from 1 species